rnacentral:rRNA from 1 species
GGGGAAUCUUCCGCAAUGGACGAAAGCCUGACGGAGCAACGCCGCGUGAGUGAAGACGGCCUUCGGGUUGUAAAGCUCUGUUAUACGGGACGAAUAAUCUUGUGGUUAAUACCCAUGAGAAGUGACGGUACCGUAAGAGAAAGCCACGGCUAACUACGUGCCAGCAGCCGCGGUAAUACGUAGGUGGCAAGCGUUGUCCGGAAUUAUUGGGCGUAAAGGGCGCGCAGGCGGCUUCUUAAGUCUGUCUUAAAAGUGCGGGGCUUAACCCCGUGAUGGGAUGGAAACUGGGAAGCUCAGAGUAUCGGAGAGGAAAGCGGAAUUCCUAGUGUAGCGGUGAAAUGCGUAGAUAUUAGGAGGAACACCAGUGGCGAAAGCGGCUUUCUGGACGAAAACUGACGCUGAGGCGCGAAAGCCAGGGGAGCGAACGGGAUUAGAUACCCCGGUAGUCCUAGCUGUAAACGAUGAUUACUGGGUGUGGGCAUGAAGAGUGUCCGUGCCGAAGCUAAUGCGAUAAGUAAUCCGCCUGGGGAGUACGGCCGCAAGGUUG